ACCCGCUGAACUUAAGCAUAUCAAUAAGCGGAGGAAAAGAAACCAACAGGGAUUGCCCUAGUAACGGCGAGUGAAGCGGCAACAGCUCAAAUUUGAAAUCUGGCUCUUUUAGAGUCCGAGUUGUAAUUUGCAGAGGGCGCUUUGGCUUUGGCAGCGGUCCAAGUUCCUUGGAACAGGACGUCACAGAGGGUGAGAAUCCCGUACGUGGUCGCUGGCUAUUGCCGUGUAAAGCCCCUUCGACGAGUCGAGUUGUUUGGGAAUGCAGCUCUAAAAGGGAGGUACAUUUCUUCUAAAGCUAAAUAUUGGCCAGAGACCGAUAGCGCACAAGUAGAGUGAUCGAAAGAUGAAAAGCACUUUGGAAAGAGAGUCAAACAGCACGUGAAAUUGUUGAAAGGGAAGCGCUUGCAGCCAGACUUGCUUACAGUUGCUCAUCCGGGCUUUUGCCCGGUGCACUCUUCUGUAGGCAGGCCAGCAUCAGUUUGGGCGGUAGGAUAAAGGUCUCUGUCACGUACCUCUCUUCGGGGAGGCCUUAUAGGGGAGACGACAUACUACCAGCCUGGACUGAGGUCCGCGCAUCUGCUAGGAUGCUGGCGUAAUGGCUGU
rnacentral:rRNA from 1 species